rnacentral:rRNA from 1 species
AGAGUUUGAUUAUGGCUCAGGAUGAACGCUAGCGGCAGGCUUAACACAUGCAAGUCGAGGGGCAGCGAGAGAGUAGCAAUACUCGUUGUCGGCGACCGGCGCACGGGUGAGUAACGCGUAUGCAACCCUUCCCAGACAGGGGGAUAGCCCAGGGAAACUUGGAUUAAUACCCCCGUAGGCCGAGUGGCGGCAUCGCCGUUCGGUUAAAGUUCCGGCGGUCUGGGGUGGCAUGCGUGCCAUUAGGCAGUUGCGGGGUAACGGCCCACCAAACCGACGAUGGCUACGGGGGUCUAAAAGGAUGGUCCCGCACAUUGGAACUGAGACACGGUCCAAACUCCUACGGGAGGCAGCAGUGAGGAAUAUUGGUCAAUGGGGGGAACCCUGAACCAGCCAUGCCCGCGUGGAGGAAGACGGCCCUACGGGUUGUAAACUCCUUUAGCACGGGAAUAAACUCGGCCACGCGUGGCCGACUGAAGGUACCGUGAGAAUAAGCAUCGGCUAACUCCGUGCCAGCCGCUGC